AGCUACUCCAAGCACACCAGCUGAUUAAAGUGUGCCAGCAUAUGUUGCAUAACCCAUGUUAGAUAUUCGCUAUUGUUGACAAACUUGUACUAAGAUAAGGACUGAUCAGGAUAAGGUACAAAGAAGGCACAAAGGCAAGCUGGAGGACCUGCAAGAGUGACGCUGGCAUUUACUGUUGACGCUUUAGCUUAACUACCCAGCACUUGAGAUUUAUGUUUAUCCACUGAAGUAGUCUGGCUGGAUAUGAGAAGUUAAGACAGAUGGAUAGCCAGUGGCUUGUUAAAUAGUAAAGCUGGCGAGUAAACUAAAGCUCUGACUAGUCAAAGAAAUGUGAACAUCAUCUCUGCAACGUCUGCUAGCUUACAUUUACAAGUCAAUGUAACGUUCGGUUGGGUUGGACAGCCUCUACAUCUGGUAGCAAGCAAGCCAGAUUAAUAGACGGCCAACUGCUUCAUGCCUGCAGUGUGGAUGACGUUAUCGAUGACUUCUCGUGGGACCGGCUCUGGGCUGAUGAAUCGGACAGACCUCCGCUGGUUCAUCAGAGUGUAAAACUCCUGAGAUCUCUGCAGCAUCUUCUCCUCGGGGUAACAUGGUGGCAGAAAAGGGGACAAAGUUUCUGUUCAGCUCUUACCGGCUUCUUUUGAGGGGAUUUCUGUGUCGUCCUGUAAAUCCUGGUCCACC